AUUGAACGCUGGCGGCAGGCCUAACACAUGCAAGUCGAACGAGUGGCGGACGGGUGAGUAAUGUCUGGGAAACUGCCCGAUGGAGGGGGAUAACUACUGGAAACGGUAGCUAAUACCGCAUACCAUCGGAUGUGCCCAGAUGGGAUUAGCUAGUAGGUGGGGUAACGGCUCACCUAGGCGACGAUCCCUAGCUGGUCUGAGAGGAUGACCGGCAAAAUUGGAACUGAGACACGGUCAAGACCCCUACGGGAGGCAGAAGUGGGGAAUAUUGCACAAUGGGCGCAAGCCGGAUGCAGCCAGGCCGGGGGUAGGAAGAAGGCCUUCGGGUUGUAAAGUACUUUCAGCGAGGAGGCGUUACUCGCAGAAGAAGCACCGGCUAACUCCGUGCCAGCAGCCGCGGUAAUAC
rnacentral:rRNA from 1 species